ACUUUGCUGUCAAGGUGCUGGAUCAGUGGUUCGAGUCUGAGCCUCUAAAAGCCACUCUAGCAACGGAUGCUGUGAUUGGAGCCAUGACAA
rnacentral:pre_miRNA from 1 species